AACGAAUGCUGGCGGCGUGCUUAACACAUGCAAGUCGAACGGGUUCUAGCAGAAUAUCGCUGGGAUUAGUGGCAAACGGGUGAGUAACACGUGGGUAAUCUACCUCUGAAUGGGGAAUAACCCGCCGAAAGGCGAGCUAAUACCCCGUAGUACUGGAAGGUGUAAUUCCUUCCUUUUAAAGAUGGCGUCCGUAAGGGGCUAUCGUUCAGAGCGGGGCCCGCGGCCUAUCAGCUAGUUGGUGAGGUAACGGCCCACCAAGGCAACGACGGGUAGCCGGCCUGAAAGGGCGAUCGGCCACACUGGAACUGAGACACGGUCCAGACUCCUACGGGUGGCUG
rnacentral:rRNA from 1 species